AGAGUUUGAUCCUGGCUCAGGAUGAACGCUGGCGGCGUGCCUAACACAUGCAAGUCGAACGAAGCGUGCCGGAGGAAGUUUUCGGAUGGAAUCCGGGAUGACUGAGUGGCGGACGGGUGAGUAACGCGUGGGUAACCUGCCCUGUACAGGGGGACAACAGUUAGAAAUGACUGCUAAUACCGCAUAAGCGCACAGGAUCGCAUGGUCCGGUGUGAAAACUCCGGUGGUACAGGAUGGACCCGCGUCCGAUUAGGUAGUUGGCGGGGUAACGGCCCACCAAGCCGACGAUCAGUAGCCGACCUGAGAGGGUGACCGGCCACAUUGGGACUGAGACACGGCCCAAACUCCUACGGGAGGCAGCAGUGGGGAAUAUUGCACAAUGGGGGAACCCUGAUGCAGCGACGCCGCGUGAGUGAAGAAGUAUUUCGGUAUGUAAAGCUCUAUCAGCAGGGAAGAAAAUGACGGUACCUGACUAAGAAGCCCCGGCUAACUACGUG
rnacentral:rRNA from 1 species